UACGUAGGGUGCGAGCGUUUAAUCGGAAUUACUGGGCGUAAAGCGUGCGCAGGCGGUUAUGUAAGACAGUUGUGAAAUCCCCGGGCUCAACCUGGGAAUUGCAUCUGUGACUGCAUAGCUAGAGUACGGUAGAGGGGGAUGGAAUUCCACGUGUAGCAGUGAAAUGCGUAGAUAUGCGGAGGAACACCGAUGGCGAAGGCAAUCCCCUGGACCUGUACUGACGCUCAUGCACGAAAGCGUGGGGAGCAAACAGG
rnacentral:rRNA from 1 species